UACGGAGGGGGGCUAGCGUUGUUCGGAAUUACUGGGCGUAAAGCGCACGUAGGCGGCUUUGUAAGUUAGAGGUGAAAGCCCAGGGCUUAACCCUGGAAUUGCCUUUAAGACUGCAUCGCUCGAAUUGUGGAGAGGUGAGUGGAAUUCCGAGUGUAGAGGUGAAAUUCGUAGAUAUUCGGAAGAACACCAGUGGCGAAGGCGACUCACUGGACACAUAUUGACGCUGAGGUGCGAAAGCGUGGGGAGCAAACAGG
rnacentral:rRNA from 1 species